rnacentral:tRNA from 2 species
GCCGGAUUAGCUCAGCUGGCAGAGCGGCUGAUUUGUAAUCAGCAGGUCGGGGGUUCGAAUCCUCCAUCCGGCACCA